AUGGAACUGGGACAUUUAUGGUCCUUUCCAAGCCAAACCAUUCUGCAAUUCUGUGAUUCUCCACAGGCUCACACAGCCCUGAGCUUUCCCUGGAAGCAGGACAGGUCAUGGAAUCACCUCUCUGCUACACACACUGCUCCCACCACCAGCUCUCAUCUGUGCUACCACUGUCAAUGGCAGAAUGUCACACGUGAGCUCCAGAGAGCAAGUGGAGGAAUCCAAAGGCUCCAAAGGCUGAGACAUCACAGCCACCUGACAGGUACUGACUGUGCUGAAAUGUGCCUGGGCUGUGCCACGGAAUCACGAGAUUUGGGUUGGAAGGGACCUCUGCAGGGCAUGGCACAGCCUUUGCAUGGACAGUUUUUGGCUCCAGGAGGAAGAAUGGCUUCUUGUAGGCUCCUGCAGAUGGGAUUACUUUGGACAUGUUGCCCGUGUUCCAUGACCAUCUCUGGGCCUCUGAAUGUAUUUCUCUCCAUCUCUCUUCACAAAUAACAGCAGGAAUGAGGACCACACCAAGCUGGGCUCCUUCCACCAAGAUCAUCCUUCUCCUGGGAAGUUAAAAAUUAAUCAUAAAGAGGGAGUUAAAGCUCUGAGGUUUGUGAGGGAUUUCUGUCUAUGGGCAGGGAGAUCACUGGGAAAUAAAGGGAGGGAUGGAUGGUGGAUGGACGGUGAAUGGAUGAUGGAUGGACCUAUGACUUUAACAGCAGGAGAUCAACAGAGUUGAGGGAGAGAGCAUCAAGGGAGGUGUCACUGAACUAAGGAGCUGUGUGGGAGGCUGGGGACAUCAGGAGAGAGACAGGAUACCCAGAGUCAACACUGAGUAAAUCUCUGGAGUUGGAAUGUCUCUAGCAGGACUGUAGAUGGGAGGAAGAGAAAAGCCUUUGCUUUUCUGUUUUUCUGUUUCUCAUUAGCCCUUCCCACCACAGAUGAGAAACAGGAGAAAAAUUGUGAGUAUUUCCAACAUUAUCUCAUAUUUCCAAUCAGAGAAAAUUAGUGACUGGCAUUAGAACUGUAAACAGUGCCAGUGAGGUCCCAGGUGGUGGCAGAGCAGUUCGGGCAGCCUGGAGUGGGACAGGAACCUGGGAACGGGAUGUAGCAGCCAGGUAAAGAAAUCUGCUCGAGGAUACGGAGGAUACCACGUCCCUUGGGCAGCUCCAGAGGCUGGGAUGAAAGGAGACAUUCCAGAAGGGAAAACUGCUCAACAGCUGCCGACAGCCCUCGGGAUUUCCUCUGCUCUUGCUCCACUCCGCUGGG
rnacentral:lncRNA from 1 species